UACAGAGGUCCCGAGCGUUGUUCGGAUUCACUGGGCGUAAAGGGUGCGUAGGUGGUGAGGUAAGUCGGACGUGAAAUCUCCGGGCUUAACCCGGAAAUGGCAUUGGAAACUACCUUGCUAGAGGAUUUGAGGGGGGAUUGGAAUACUUGGUGUAGCAGUGAAAUGCGUAGAUAUCAAGUGGAACACCAGUGGCGAAGGCGAAUCCCUGGAAAAUACCUGACACUGAGGCACGAAAGCUAGGGGAGCAAACAGG
rnacentral:rRNA from 1 species